rnacentral:tRNA from 1 species
GCAGCGGUAGUGUAGUGGUAAGCACACCCAGGCAGCCUCCAACGGCGAAAGGGGGACCUGCCCAUCCCUAGCAUGGAGAUCGUGGGUUCGAUUCCCACCACCGGCG